rnacentral:lncRNA from 1 species
GUUAUCCUUUACCCCUUUCAAAUUAUACAAAAAAAGAAAGCCCCCUGUGCAAAUGGUCUAUAAUCUCUAGAAGUUGACGUCUGAAGGCCUAUCCGAACUGUCCAUAUGUUGCCAUCUGUCCUGUCACACUUUAGGCCAACAGUAUCCCCUCAUAUGACCGACUCAUAAUCAGAAAUGAUCGGGCACAAUACAUGGGACAAUCAUCUGCAAAGAAAACACACGUUUACAAUAAACAACCUACGGUCACAUUUGCAAUAUGUCCAAAAUAUUAGGCUAUAGGCCUAUUUGUCUUGGUAGAUACAUUUACACAAACAUUUGAAUUGUCUCUCUUGCUGAUAAAAAACAAUCGGUAUUAUCAGUGUAAACCUUUUUUUUCUUCUCAAAACUAGCUAGGCAGUGACAUCUUUGCUUUGUGGCUCAGUAAACAGUGACAGAGUUAGCGUUUAAAUAAAUGCUGUGAUGAAUGCAGUCCUCGGAAGCAGUUUGCUGGAUGGAGUCUUCCAAGAUCUCGUCGCUUUUCAAUGUCCAGCGGCAUCAAACCAAUAUCCAGAGACAUCACUGAAAAGGACCAACCUCUGACAGGAGAAGUUGGAUAGGGGAAGGUGCUGGUGAAAGCGAAGGGCGAGAAUGUGAGAGGAGACUCCACUUGCCUGGGUUGAUCUUUUCUGGCGA